UUGGCAUUGCUGUGGCUGUGCUGUGGCUGUAGCUCCAAUUCAACCUCUAGCCUGGGAACUUCCAUGUGCUGUGAGUGUGGCCCUAAAAAAGACGCCCCCCCCACCCCCAGAAAAAGAGAAAUGGGAGGAAGGGAGGAAGGAAGGAGGAAAGAAAGGGAGAGAAGAGAAGAAGGGGAGGAAAGAGAAGGAAUGAAUGAAUGAUGGAAGGAAGGAGCCUUUUUAACUUUCCGCCACCCUGAGAUUUCCAUCUCCAACUUGCAGGGACUUGCUUGAGGAAACUACCAGGUGACUUGAGUCAAGAGGCUUUAAAGACAUUUGGCGUAUUUCUAACAGUGUCAUGUUGGAGAAGGUUCUUUAGAAGGUUCUCCAGCCCAUUUGGGAAACUCCACGUAGCCCAUCAACCUCCCGCCAUCAAUCACACCAACUAUAAAUUUCAUCCUGGGAAGGAAAUGUGCCUUGAGGGUUGCAUUCAUCUUCUAUGCCAGGUGCACGGGGAGAGCAGAGGAAGGGAAGGAAUCCAGGCCUUUUCACCCUCUGGGCUGCUGGUCCCUGGUGCCCUGAGCCCUGGAGGGCCGGGCUGGAAGCCAAGGAACAAAUUGGUGCUGCCCAGCUAGGGUACCACUGAGUUGAGUCACCCUGACCAGCAGGUCCACCGGCUCUUGGCAUGCAAGUCCAGCAAAACAGGACUCAGCACUUGCUGGGCUCUCCCUGAAGUGCAAUGAGUUUGGCUGGAACAUGAGUGGUUCAAGUUCUGACAUUUUGUUCAUCAUGGUAUUUUUGCAAUUGAUUCUGAUUUGGGGAGAAAGAUUGCAUUAAAUGUUUGUUUGUUU
rnacentral:lncRNA from 1 species